rnacentral:lncRNA from 1 species
UUUAUUUGCUUUUGCUGGCGAACAUGGUACACGUAAAUAGACAAAGCAAAUCUCUUGUAUAUCUCAAGAGAUCAUAUCAAUUGAACGAAAACGAACUAACACUCACACGAUUGAUAGAUAAAACAGUACCCAUAUUUUUAUUCAGUUAAUCACAACAUAAAAGAAUAACAUUUUAAUUAACCGGUGUGGUCGGCAUUUCUCCCAUAUUGAGGGACAACAAGAAAAUCAAGAUUGUAAUUCGCAAUGCCAUCAUUUGAAACGCUGAGAAGAGGAAAUAGUGCAACGACCCCCUCCAACCAACUGUUAUCUCCUGAAAAUUUAUAAUAGAAAACUUAGUCGUAAGUGCACAUUUCAAAAUAAAAAUCGUAAUUCAACUGAAAAUGGCCUAAAAACCUGCGCAAGUAGCUUCCAUAUUCUUCAAAUCGCAAAGAUCUCUACUUCGGGAGUCAAAACUCAAGAAGUAAUCAAGUUGCUUCUGUGAGUUUUCG